rnacentral:rRNA from 1 species
GAUGAACGCUGGCGGCGUGCCUAAUACAUGCAAGUCGAGCGAACAGACGAGGAGCUUGCUCCUCUGACGUUAGCGGCGGACGGGUGAGUAACACGUGGAUAACCUACCUAUAAGACUGGGAUAACUUCGGGAAACCGGAGCUAAUACCGGAUAAUAUAUUGAACCGCAUGGUUCAAUAGUGAAAGACGGUUUUGCUGUCACUUAUAGAUGGAUCCGCGCCGCAUUAGCUAGUUGGUAAGGUAACGGCUUACCAAGGCGACGAUGCGUAGCCGACCUGGGAGGGUGAUCGCCACCACUGGAACUGAGACACGGUCCAGCCCCCUAAGGGAGGCAGCAGUAGGGAAUCUUCCGCAAUGGGCGAAAGCCUGACGGAGCAAGGCCGCGUGAGGGAAGAAGGUCUUCGGUCCGUAAAACUUUUUUAUUAGGGAAGAACAAAUGUGUAAGUAACUAUGCACGUUUUGACGGUACCAAAACAGAAAGCCCCGGCUAACUACGU